rnacentral:lncRNA from 1 species
AGGCGCACGGCGGGUAUAGUGGUUCCGCAACCUUGGGAUGUUCGGCCGAGCGCCUGCCUAACCCUCCUGACUGGAGGGUCAGCGGCGGGGAGUCCUGGCCUUCAAUCGGCCAUCGCCACGGCAGAAACUGGGGCCCGGGCCUUCCCCGUCCGUCCACAGGUCUCAUGGGCGCCCGGACUGGGGCUGAUGUAGUUUCCCGACCUCUGACACAUAGAAUCUGGAGAUUAAAGCUGCUCUGCUAAUAAUUAGGUUCCCACCUCUCAAGAUCAUUAGGAGCUUCUUUUCCAAUUUCUCUGUUUUGCAUGCAUUGGAAGGAUCUGGAGCUCAGGACCCACUACCUCCCCGGCCCACUGCAAGCUUGAACAUUUGAUGGUGGACACCCCUCCCUGACUUUGUAUUAUGAUUCACAGGCUGCUCCCCAGAAUACUGAAGCAGAAACUCUAGGAGUGAGACCCAACAAUCUGUAUUUAACAAGCCCCCAGGCCCCUGGAUCCUCCUGGAAUCCGUGAUCCCUGUUGCUCCCUGGCGGAGUUUUCUAGUCCCUCUUACUUGAAGCAUGUCUUUCAGAGCCCGGCACCACCCAAGUUGGGUAUCUGAUACCCCAUCAGCCUGAGUCUCUUAAAGGCCUUUAUACGCAUAUGUCUACACAUAGGGAUUUGGAUUAUCUCGGGAUCCCACAUCCUCGCUGUCCCCUGUCCCCCCGCAACAUCCCCCACCAAUACCUUUCUGAAGUUUUCUAGUCCCUCCUUUUUGUUUGUGCUCCUUAAAGCCCAGCCCCAUGCCU